AACGAACGCUGGCGGCAUGCCUAACACAUGCCAGUCGAACGAGACCUUCGGGUCUAGUGGCGCACGGGUGCGUAAAGCGUGGGAACAUGCCCUUAGGAUCGGAAUCAAUCCCUGAAAGAGGAGCUAAUAACGGAUACUGUCUUCGGACAAAAGAUUUAUCGCCAUUGGAUGGGCCCGCGUUGGUUUUGCUAGUUGGUAGGGUAAACGCCUACCAAGGCGACGAUCCAUAGCUGGUCGGAGAGGAGGAUCGGCCACACUGGGACUGGGACACGGCCCAGACUCCUACGGGGGGAGGCGGGGGGGAAUUUUGGACAAGGGGCGAAGGCCUGAUCCGGCAAGGCGGCGGGGGUGUGGAAGGCCUUGGGUUUGUAAACCUCUUUUGCACGGGAGGAUAAUGACGGUACCUGGAGAAUAAGCACCGGCUAACUCCGUG
rnacentral:rRNA from 1 species